CACAUUUUUUGUAGCACUCGAUACUUUUACACGUGUAUAGUAGUAGUAAAUACAUUUAAGUAAAAUGACAAGAGAGAUCGAGAAGAUAUAUCAGAUAUGCAACUAUGACAUUAAACAUAGAUUUUUGAAUUGUGAUUUACUUGAUUAAUAUAUACUAUGCUAUACAUAUACAUUGAUACUCUGCUUCACAAGAAAUAAUUUCUUCCUACUGGUAGGAGAAUCUCCAAUGCUACACGAUUCAGAGCAUGUUGGUUGGCUGAUUUCUUUUACGCGCUAAGUGGUUAGCUUGUUUCACUGUCGAUGUACAAUAAAGGCAUGUAUAUGUGUCGCUAGUACACCAUUCUAUUGAACAACAUUGCGGAGUAUUUUAGCGGCAAAUGUUCUUCAAAGGUGGAUGCAGGAUGCAUUUCAUCAAAUUCGCUUGGUAUGGAGAAACCAUUAAUAUGAGCUUGCAUUAGUCUUUUCAAGAUCUAUUUUCAAUAGAAAUCAUUUAAGUAACUUUUACAUCUUUUCUCUAUCAAUAUAAUAUAUAUGUCCUUAGCUUGUUUCUUGUAAUUGAUGGUUGUUCAUGACAAAGAAUCAGUGAGUAGUUAUUAGAAGAUAUGUUGUUGCAUUGUCACACUUGUCAUGAGGACAAACAUCGAAUAUACCUGCUAAGCCGCCAUGAGAAUGGAUAUAUUUUAAACACCAUAUAUGUUGCUUUUGUUGAAUUUUAUAUAGGUCAAUUUGUAUAUCAUCUAUGUUGCCACUUUCGAUGAUUUUUAUAUGUUGUUGAGAGGUAUUUAAAUUGUAAAAAAGGCUAUAAUGAUGCAAUAUUUUUUAGAUGAAUAGAGAUUCAAUAUGUUAUUAGUUGAGGUCCUGGACAACUUAACGAUUUCUUCAAGCAAUUUUCUAUAACAAUAAUAUUGUGUUGGGCCGUACUGAUACAACAAGUAAUACCCCCUUGUUACUACUAAUAUAUAAUAUAUAAGUGGCUUGCCGACCAAGCCCACUUUCUAUUAUUAGUAAAUUAGUAAAGUGAAAAAGUAGUUUUGGCUACUUUGUCGUUUAACAACUUUAUUUUUAUCUAUUUUCUUUUUUUAAUCACCAAAUAUAUUACU